rnacentral:tRNA from 1 species
CAGGGAGACAACAAAAUGUAAAUAUUAAUUUUGUCACCUUAGGUCGAUCGGUAUCUCAGAUUCUUAUUAUUUAAGAAUUUCAGUUUCUAAGUUUUUUCUAGGUCACACCCAUCACUUUUUCCUGGGCCAUUAGCUCAGGUGGUUAGAGCGCACCCCUGAUAAGGGUGAGGUCCCUGGUUCAAGUCCAGGAUGGCCCAUAUCUCUAUGUUGGGGGUAUAGCUCAGUUGGUAGAGCGCCUGCUUUGCAAGCAGGAUGUCAGCGGUUCGAGUCCGCUUACCUCCACUGAAUACCACCUCUUACAUAUAGUUGAAGUGGGAAAUUGUUUUGAGUCGUGUCCUAAUUUGCUCUGAGCGAAUCUAGCUUCCUAUUUUAUCCAAGAAAUAAGAUGCUGGACUCAUUGAAUUUUUUUUCAUUGUUUUCAGAGAACCUUGACAACUGCAUAGAUUAUUUUUAAAGACAAUAAGCAUCUUUAAUGAUGCAGAUUUAUUAUUUGUGCGAAUGCAUUAAAUAACAAUUCUAUUAAGCUGAUGCUUCAAUUAUUGAAGUUAUUG